GGGGGGAAGACUCGGGCCCCCGGGGAGGCGAGGGGGGCUUACCUCCGACCCGGUACAUGUUGGCAGCCAUGCCCAGGCUGGGGUGUCUGGGCCGCUCCCGCCGCCACUACCUCCAGGCAUCUCCUACAAACGUCCUCAGCCUCCAACUGCCUGGCUUUCUGCUACAGAUUUAAGGAAACAUAUCCUCACAUUUUCCCUCAGUGUAAACAAGAUGCAACCUUGAGAUCUCAGCCGCCCAUCCUAUCACCAAA